rnacentral:rRNA from 1 species
UGGGGAAUAUUGCACAAUGGGCGCAAGCCUGAUGCAGCAACGCCGCGUGAACGAUGAAGGUCUUCGGAUCGUAAAGUUCUGUUGCAGGGGAAGAUAAUGACGGUACCCUGUGAGGAAGCCCCGGCUAACUACGUGCCAGCAGCCGCGGUAAUACGUAGGGGGCUAGCGUUAUCCGGAUUUACUGGGCGUAAAGGGUGCGUAGGUGGUCUUUCAAGUCGGUGGUUAAAGGCUACGGCUUAACCGUAGUUAGCCUCCGAAACUGGAAGACUUGAGUGCAGGAGAGGAAAGUGGAAUUCCCAGUGUAGCGGUGAAAUGCGUAGAUAUUGGGAGGAACACCAGUAGCGAAGGCGGCUUUCUGGACUGCAACUGACACUGAGGCACGAAAGCGUGGGUAGCAAACAGG